AUGGGCACCUACAAGUGCUGCCUCAUCUUCAAGCGCCGGUUCCGCUGGACGGACGCGCCGCCGCCGGACGACGUGCGGGCGCUCUUCGACGAGCACUCGGGCGGGGCCGCCACCAUGGGCGCCGACGGCCUGCGCCGCUACCUCGAGUCCACGGGCGGCGACCCCGACGCCGCCGACGCCGACGCCGAGGGCGAGGCGGACCGUCUGCUGGACCAGAUCCGCCUGCAGGGCCACCAGCAGCGCGCCGGCCCGCGCCUCCCGCGCCUCGGCCGCGGCCAGCUGCUCGGCCUCGACGACUUCCACCGCUUCCUCUUCUCCGCCGACCUCAACCCGCCCCUCCGCCGCCCGCAGGUCCACCACGACAUGUCCCAGCCCAUCUCCCACUACUACGUCUACACGGGACACAACUCGUACCUCACCGGCAACCAGCUCAGCAGCGACUGCAGCGACGUCCCCAUCAUCAAGGCCCUGCAGCGCGGCGUCCGGGUCAUCGAGCUCGACAUGUGGCCCAACUCCGCCAAGGACGACAUCAGCAUCCUCCAUGGCAGGACAUUGACCACCCCGGUUUCGCUGCUGAAAUGCUUGAGAUCCAUCAAAGAGUACGCUUUCGUCGCGUCUCCCUACCCGGUUAUCAUCACACUCGAAGACCACCUUACACCCGAGCUGCAGGACAAAGUUGCCAAGAUGGUCCUUGAAGUGUUUGGCGACAUACUGUACUACCCUCAAGAAGAACAUCCCAAAGAACUCCCUUCACCUGAGUUCCUCAAGGGUCGUGUGCUACUAUCAACAAAGCCCCCAAAGGAGUACCUUGAAGCCAAGGAUGGUGGUGCCGUGAAAGAUGGUGAUGCGGAGCAGAAUCCUGGCAAAGGGACUGACGAUGAUGCGGCUUGGGGAACAGAAGUCCCAGAUUUCAAGACUGAAAUCCAGUCUGCUAAAGAGGAGGAUGCCUCAGAGCACCGUAGAGAUGACGACGAGGACGAUGACGAUGAGGACGAACAGAAAAUGCAACAGCAUCUAGCUCCACAGUAUAAACACCUUAUUACUAUAAGAGCAGGAAAGCCAAAGGGGGGUACUACGUCUGAUGCCUUGAAGUGUGACCCAAACAAAGUUAGGCGGCUCAGUUUGAGCGAGCAACAACUUGCCAAAGCUGUAGUUAAUCAUGGCACCGAAAUAGUGAGGUUUACACAGAGGAAUCUUCUGAGGAUAUACCCAAAGGGCACUCGGGUUACUUCAUCCAACUAUAAUCCAUUUAUUGGUUGGGUGCACGGUGCUCAGAUGGUGGCCUUCAAUAUGCAGGGGUAUGGAAGAGCCCUUUGGUUAAUGCAUGGGUUUUAUAAAGCAAAUGGUGGCUGUGGCUACGUGAAGAAACCAGAUUUCUUGAUGCAGUCCGAACCAGAAGUUUUUGAUCCAAAAAAGCCUCAACCUGUUAAGAAGACCUUGAAGGUAAAAGUGUACAUGGGCGAUGGUUGGCGGAUGGACUUCAAGCAGACACACUUUGACCAGUAUUCUCCUCCAGAUUUCUAUGCACGGGUCGGGAUCGCCGGUGUUCCGGCGGACUCGGUGAUGAAGAAGACAAAGGCGGUGGAGGACAACUGGGUGCCGGUGUGGGGGGAGGAGUUCUCCUUCGGCCUGACGGUGCCGGAGCUGGCGCUGCUGCGGGUGGAGGCGCAUGAGUACGACAUGUCGGAGAAGGACGAUUUUGCGGGGCAGACGGUGCUGCCGGUGUCGGAGCUUCAGCCCGGGAUCCGCGCGGUGGCGCUCUUCGACCGCAAGGGGAACAAGUUCCCCAACGUCAAGCUCCUAAUGCGCUUUGAGUUUGUCUGA
rnacentral:rRNA from 1 species